rnacentral:rRNA from 1 species
GACGAACGCUGGCGGCGUGCUUAACACAUGCAAGUCGAGCGAUGAAGCUCCUUCGGGAGUGGAUUAGCGGCGGACGGGUGAGUAACACGUGGGUAACCUGCCUCAUAGAGGGGAAUAGCCUUUCGAAAGGAAGAUUAAUACCGCAUAAGAUUGUAGCUUCGCAUGGAGCAGCAAUUAAAGGAGUAAUCCGCUAUGAGAUGGACCCGCGUCGCAUUAGCUAGUUGGUGAGGUAACGGCUCACCAAGGCGACGAUGCGUAGCCGACCUGAGAGGGUGAUCGGCCACAUUGGGACUGAGACACGGCCCAGACUCCUACGGGAGGCAGCAGUGGGGAAUAUUGCACAAUGGGGGAAACCCUGAUGCAGCAACGCCGCGUGAGUGAUGACGGUCUUCGGAUUGUAAAGCUCUGUCUUCAGGGACGAUAAUGACGGUACCUGAGGAGGAAGCCACGGCUAACUACGUGCCAGCCGCCGCGGUAA